rnacentral:tRNA from 1 species
GGGGUGUUAGCUCAGCUGGGAGAGCGCUACGCUGGCAGUGUAGAGGUCAGGGGUUCGACCCCCCUACGCUCCA